rnacentral:rRNA from 1 species
GAGGCCUGCCUGCCCAGUGACAAACGUUCAACGGCCGCGGUAUCCUGACCGUGCAAAGGUAGCAUAAUCACUUGUUCCUUAAUUGGGGACUGGAAUGAAUGGCCUCACGAGGAUUCAACUGUCUCUUACCUCUAAUCAGUGAAAUUGACCUCCCCGUGAAGAGGCGGGGAUAUAACAACAAGACGAGAAGACCCUAUGGAGCUUUAAUUUUCUGUCUUAACUACUAAAUAACUAACCCUACUGGGAUAAAAAAAAGAGAAAUAAGUCAGUAAUUUCGGUUGGGGUGACCUCGGAGAAUAAGACAACCUCCGAAUGAUUUUAACCAAGACAAACAAGUCAAAGUAUUAAAAAUCAAAUUGACCCAAUUCAUUUGAUCAACGGACCAAGUUACCCUAGGGAUAACAGCGCAAUCCUAUUCAAGAGUCCAUAUCGACAAUUAGGGUUUACGACCUCGAUGUUGGAUCAGGACAUCCCAAUGGUGCAGCAGCUAUUAAUGGUUCGUUUGUUCAACGAUUAAAGUCCUACGUGAUCUG